rnacentral:rRNA from 1 species
AGAGUUUGAUCCUGGCUCAGGAUGAACGCUGACAGAAUGCUUAACACAUGCAAGUCAACUUGAAUUUGGGUUUUUAACUUAGAUUUGGGUGGCGGACGGGUGAGUAACGCGUAAAGAACUUGCCUCACAGCUAGGGACAACAUUUAGAAAUGAAUGCUAAUACCUGAUAUUAUGAUUUUAAGGCAUCUUAGAAUUAUGAAAGCUAUAAGCACUGUGAGAGAGCUUUGCGUCCCAUUAGCUAGUUGGAGAGGUAACAGCUCACCAAGGCGAUGAUGGGUAGCCGGCCUGAGAGGGUGAACGGCCACAAGGGGACUGAGACACGGCCCUUACUCCUACGGGAGGCAGCAGUGGGGAAUAUUGGACAAUGGACCGAGAGUCUGAUCCAGCAAUUCUGUGUGCACGAUGAAGUUUUUCGGAAUGUAAAGUGCUUUCAGUUGGGAAGAAAAAAAUGACGGUACCAACAGAAGAAGUGACGGCUAAAUACGUGCCAGCAGCCGCGGUAAUACGUAUGUCACAAGCGUUAUCCGGAUUUAUUGGGCGUAAAGCGCGUCUAGGUGGUUAUGUAAGUCUGAUGUGAAAAUGCAGGGCUCAACUCUGUAUUGCGUUGGAAACUGUGUAACUAGAGUACUGGAGAGGUAAGCGGAACUACAAGUGUAGAGGUGAAAUUCGUAGAUAUUUGUAGGAAUGCCGAUGGGGAAGCCAGCUUACUGGACAGAUACUGACGCUGAAGCGCGAAAGCGUGGGUAGCAAACAGGAUUAGAUACCCUGGUAGUCCACGCC